rnacentral:misc_RNA from 1 species
UUGAGAUGAAUUUAAAGAAGAUCAAAGAUGUGAAAGACCAGUGCCAGGCAUUUGACAAAGACAUCGAGGCCUUCCAGAAGGAACUCAGAUUUAGGGGCUUUGACCUGAACAUAGAACCUCUUGACUAUCCCAAGACAGUUUGUGCCGCCUCGUCUUGCACGAAGUUUGUACCUGUCGGUAAAUCAGGCCGACACAACACCAUCUAUGAGCAAGUCUGCCAUUCCCACUGCAGUCUCUCAGGAGUUCCGAUCGAGACAACCAACAACGAUCAGCUCCAUGGCUGCUGCGCUAUGAGUGAUGGCAAGUGCAGGUUCUGUGGACACAACUACAGAGAGCACAUGCAUAUCCGAUACACAGCCAGUGUCGUUGAGAAGGAAUUCCUGUCUGACGAAGCACAGUCGAAAAUCAAGACGAAGACCGACUUGAAGUCCCAAAAGCAAUCGUUCAUCAGAGAGUUGGAGAAGAACAUCAAGGAGCUUGAAGAAGAAAAGAAGUUCAUCUAUGAGUGCGCCAGCUACUUUGGUGUCUUCCUCAAGCAGAAUGCCAUGCUUGCCUAUAACGACUCCUUUUGUGAGUACCUGGACAUGCUGAUCAAGGAAGAGGAGAUGAAAGAGAAGGGGAUUAGAGACGAAGGGAAGAUUGCUCAAAUGAAAAAGGACAAGAAGACGUAUGAGGAAAAGAAGAAUGUCAUCAUUGAAAACAUCAAGAAGGUCCCAGCGGAUGGAAAGAAGGCAGAAGUCAUGCCAAUAGAGAAGAUAUUUGAAAUGAGAGCGAAGCUUUGUUCCCUGAAGCACAAUGGAAAGACUCUGCGAGACGCUUUAGGGAUGGUUCUUAAAUUUUUCUUAGUAUACUUCAUGGCGCUCGUGGCAUGGAAGAACAGCGCAGGAGCGAGGGUUGCACAUUAUAUCUUUCACACCUCUGCUACUUACGUGCUAUGAGUAUGAGUCAGGCAUGAGGGAGACUCCAGUGUGGUGCCUGACUUUUUCCUAGUCGUCUUUAAAGCACUCGUGGCAUGAAAGCACACUAGGAAAGAAAAAGCUACCCAUUACGCCUUGCGCCCCCUUUCACCUGAGUGCUACGAGGACGACUGGAUAUGAGUCACAUAUGGGGAAUUUAGGAAGCUCCCAUUUUUCCGAAAAAAAAAAAAACAUACUCACUCACUGCGAAGGUCUGUCAUCGCCGACUAUUCUGGGCUGACUUUUUGAUGGGGUUCCAGUAUAUUGUGGCUCAAUUGAUGGUAUUAUUUCAGCCAGGCAGAAGAAUCAAAAAACACAAGCAGCAAGCAAGAGCUGUGUGUAUGCCAAAACCAACAAUUCCUGGAUUCCUG